GCGGGAGUACCCAAGCUAGGUUUAAGGGGCGAGGUUCAGAGCCUCGUGGCGUAGGCCUUCGUGGGUUCAAAUCCCACCUCCCGCA
rnacentral:tRNA from 1 species